rnacentral:rRNA from 1 species
GACGAACGCUGGCGGUGUGCUUCACACAUGCAAGUCGAACGAGGUAGCAAUACCUAGUGGCGGACGGGUGAGUAACGCGUGGGAAUCUGCCUUUAGAUGGGGGAUAACGGGUCGAAAGACUCGCUAAUACCGCAUAUGACGAAAGUUGAAAGGAGUAAUCCGUCUAAAGAUGAGCCCGCGUCCGAUUAGCUAGUUGGUAGAGUAAAAGCCUACCAAGGCGACGAUCCGGUAGCUGGUCUAGAGAGGAUGAUCAGCCACAAUGGGACUAGAGACACGGCCCAUACUCCUACGGAGGCAGCAGUGGGAAUUUACGCAAUGGGCGAAAGCCUGACGUAGCGACACCGCGUGAGCGAAGAAGCCCCUUGGGUGUAAAGCUCUGUCAGCUGGAACGAAAAAAAUAGACGGUACCAGCAGAGGAAGCAUCGGCUAACUACGUGCCAGCA